rnacentral:rRNA from 1 species
GGCAGACGGGUGAGUAACGCGUGGGAACGUACCUUUUGGUUCGGAACAACACAGGGAAACUUGUGCUAAUACCGGAUAAGCCCUUACGGGGAAAGAUUUAUCGCCGAAAGAUCGGCCCGCGUCUGAUUAGCUAGUUGGUAGGGUAACGGCCUACCAAGGCGACGAUCAGUAGCUGGUCUGAGAGGAUGAUCAGCCACAUUGGGACCGAGACACGGCCCAAACUCCUACGGGAGGCAGCAGUGGGGAAUAUCGGACAAUGGGCGCAAGCCUGAUCCAGCCAUGCCGCGUGAGUGAUGAAGGCCCUAGGGUUGUAAAGCUCUUUUGUGCGGGAAGAUAAUGACGGUACCGCAAGAAUAAGCCCCGGCUAACUUCGUGCCAGCCGCCGCGG